GGUUGCUCAGUGGUUAAAGCGCUUGGCUGCUAACCAAAAGGUCGGUGGUUUGAAUCCGCCAGCCA
rnacentral:tRNA from 1 species